UAGGGAAUCUUCGGCAAUGGACGAAAGUCUGACCGAGCAACGCCGCGUGAGUGAAGAAGGUUUUCGGAUCGUAAAACUCUGUUGUUAGAGAAGAACAAGGACGUUAGUAACUGAACGUCCCCUGACGGUAUCUAACCAGAAAGCCACGGCUAACUACGGGCCAGCAGCCGCGGUAAUACGUAGGUGGCAAGCGUUGUCCGGAUUUAUUGGGCGUAAAGCGAGCGCAGGCGGUUUCUUAAGUCUGAUGUGAAAGCCCCCGGCUCAACCGGGGAGGGUCAUUGGAAACUGGGAGACUUGAGUGCAGAAGAGGAGAGUGGAAUUCCAUGUGUAGCGGUGAAAUGCGUAGAUAUAUGGAGGAACACCAGUGGCGAAGGCGGCUCUCUGGUCUGUAACUGACGCUGAGGCUCGAAAGCGUGGGGAGCAAACAGG
rnacentral:rRNA from 1 species